GGACUUGUAGCUCAAUGGUUAGAGCAGCCAAUAGUUUAAAUGCAAACACUUGUGCAUCUUAUGGGUUCAAAUCCCAUCAAGUCCU
rnacentral:tRNA from 1 species